rnacentral:antisense_RNA from 1 species
GUCUAUGGCGAGCCGGGCGGGGCCAGCUUCGGCUGGGCCGGUUUCCUUGAGUCCGGUUUUCCACCCUCGUUCGGUUCGCCACCCUC